AUACAACUAAUUUUACAGUGUUUCUUCCAGAGUUGUCUCACUGCUGAAAACCAUUAAUGGAUAAAUAAAUCCAAGAAAGGUCACUUCCUGGAAUCGAACUUGGAAUCUUGGGGUUAGUAGCCUGCGCUCUUAACCACUAUGCCAUAUGCCCAAGUAUGGAGUGGUCUUCUCUGCACUGCCAGUUCUUGAGCAUCCAGAUAAAUUGUGACAGAGAUGUGAAUUUUCUUUGAAUGAGCGGAGUUGUUGAGCUAAUGUUUGGAAACAAUAAAAAAAUCCAGAAAAGAAAGCAUGAAAGUUUUUAUGUCUAUAUUUUAAUUGUCAUUGUUUUUUUUUUCUGUUUAUAUUUAAAUAAUGUGCCAAGUCACUGGAUUAUAAAUAAAAGAGUUUAUUUAGUACAUUAUGUAUUUUGCCCUUAGUGGCAUUCAUUAACUCAAGAAAGUAUUUUAUGAAUGCAGUGGUGUAAAACCAUCAUCAGCAGAAGAAAAAAAUGUGUCACAUUUCAAUAGAGGAAGAGACUGCUUGCUGCUUAAUUAUAUACAAAUAUUACCUUUGGUUAUUACAGAAGGCAGCUAGCUAAUGGGGAUAAUUAUCGAGUCAACUUGAAGACCUUUUACACUAAAGU